GUCUGUGAUGCCCUUAGAUGUUCUGGGCUGCACGCGCGCUACACUGACAGAGCCAACGAGUUUUUUUCCUUGGCCGGAAGGUCUGGGUAAUCUUGUUAAACUCUGUCGUGCUGGGGAUAGAGCAUUGCAAUUAUUGCUCUUCAACGAGGAAUGCCUAGUAAGCGCAUGUCAUCAGCAUGCGUUGAUUACGUCCCUGCCCUUUGUACACACCGCCCGUCGCUACUACCGAUUGAAUGGCUCAGUGAGGCGUUCGGACUGGCUCAGGGAGGUCGGCAACGACCACCCAGAGCCGGAAAGUUCGUCAAACUUGGUCAUUUAGAGGAAGUAAAAGUCGUAACAAGGUUUCCGUAGGUGAACCUGCGGAAGGAUCAUUACAGAGUAUCGGUACCCUCACGGGUACCUACUCCCACCAUUUGUGAACUUUCUUCGUUGCCUCGGCGGACCGGCUUCACGCCCCUCGGCUUAACAGCUGGGGAGAGUCCGCCAGAGGAUCUUCAAACCCAUCUUAACUUUGCAAUCUGAGUUAAAUUUAAAUCAAAACAAAACUUUCAACAACGGAUCUCUUGGUUCUGGCAUCGAUGAAGAACGCAGCGAAAUGCGAUAAGUAAUGUGAAUUGCAGAAUUCAGUGAAUCAUCGAAUCUUUGAACGCACAUUGCGCCCUUUGGUAUUCCGAAGGGCAUGCCUGUUCGAGCGUCAUUUAAACUCUCAAGCUAUGCUUGGUAUUGAACGAUGUCCCCUCAAAAGGACAUGUUCGUAACUUGUUUGGCGUGACCGUAUGGCUUCAAGCGUAGCAAAACUUUCGCUUCGUAGUCCUGCGGCUGCUGCCUCAUAAUCUUAUUUACUUUUCAAGUUUGACCUCGGAUCAGGUAGGGAUACCCGCUGAACUUAAGCAUAUCAAUAAGCGGAGGAAAAGAAACCAACAGGGAUUGCCUCAGUAACGGCGAGUGAAGCGGCAACAGCUCAAAUUUGAAAUCUGCUUCGGCCGAAUUGUAAUUUGUAGAGGAUGCUUUGGAGUCGGCCCUGGUCUAAGUUCCUUGGAACAGGACGUCGCAGAGGGUGAGAAUCCCGUACGCGGCCGGGUGCCUUCUCCGUGUAAAGCUCCUUCGACGAGUCGAGUUGUUUGGGAAUGCAGCUCUAAACGGGAGGUAUAUUUCUUCUAAAGCUAAAUACCGGCCAGAGACCGAUAGCGCACAAGUAGAGUGAUCGAAAGAUGAAAAGCACUUUGGAAAGAGAGUUAAAAAGUACGUGAAAUUGUUGAAAGGGAAGCGUUUACGGCCAGACUUGCUGACGGUUGUUAACCCGACCGUCAACAGGCCAGCAUCAGUUCGAGCGGUCGGAUAAAGGCAUUGGGAACGUGGCUCCUCGGAGUGUUAUAGCCCCUUGCACAAUACGGCCUGUUCGGACUGAGGACAGCGUUCGCUAGGAUGCUGGCGUAAUGGCAGUCAACGGCCCGUCUUGAAACACGGACCAAGGAGUCUAGCACAUAUGCGAGUGUUUGGGUGUCAAACCCGUACGCGUAAUGAAAGUGAACGGAGGUGGGAACUUUUGUGCACCAUCGACCGAUCCUGAUGUCUUCGGAAGGAUUUGAGUAAGAGCAUACGUGCUGGGACCCGAAAGAUGAUGAACUAUGCCUAAAUAGACUGAAGCCGCCCGAAAGGGCGGUGGAAGGUCGCAGCGGUUCUGACGUGCAAAUCGAUCGUCAAAUUUGGGUAUAGGGGCGAAAGACUAAUCGAAUCH
rnacentral:rRNA from 1 species